rnacentral:lncRNA from 1 species
AACCCCCCGCCAAGAUCUGGGGUAGAGCUGAUGGUCCCGUCCACGCCCGAGACCUUCUCGUCGGCCAGGGACCUCAUUGCCUUAACGGAGCCUGUGCUGCCCCAACCCCCGGCACCACCGGUGCGGGUUUUACAAUCAAAGGGCAAACCUACACCGAUGCGAGCACCGUCCCCGGAUUCUCCGGCUCGGCACCGGUCAAGAUCCCGGCACCGAUCUCGAUCCCGAGGGAGGUCUCGCUCACGGCGCCGCUCGCAGUCCCGGCACCGCUCUCCACGGCGGCACUGGUCAUACUUGCAGCGAAGGUCGUCCUCGCGCCGGUCCCGAUACUCCUGGCACCGUUCCGGCUCCAGCCACCGUUACCGGCACCGGGACUCGAGGACUCAUUCCCGCCAUCGAUGGUCCAGAUCCCGGUCGACCUCCCGGCACCGAGCUGGUGGCAGGUCCCAGUCUCGAUCGCGGCGCCGAUAUGGCUCGCGGCACCGAUCUCCGGCACCGAGGAGGUCUUCGCCGUCUGCAACGCGGGACCCGUUCCACUCCCACUCGGCUCCACCAUGGCCCUCUCGCCAAGGCUCUGUCUCUUCGCGGGCGGACAGUAUGUACCUGGAACCUGAAGGACCCGCUACCCUCUUUCCCGAGAGACAGCAGGAGCAUGGUCCGCAGCAGUGGGGCUUCUGGACCCCCUGGGCGUAUCAUCAAGCCCAGGGCCCGCAGCAAAUUCCCCCACGAUCGUCUGUCUCAGAGCACAGGGCUCCGGAGGCUACUGCUUCACGCCCUCCUCCAUCCCCUACGGAAGAGCGGUCGUCCCAUCCUCCGGAUGCUGAAUGCCCGCAGGAGUCAGAAGCAGUGCUCCAGUCAGAGCCGCCACCAGACCCGCUCCUGCCAGGUCUCUCCUCGUCCUCCUCCCCAGAUGAGGUGGUGGCGGGGAUGACAUCCACCAGUCCCCCCCCGCUGGACCUCAGGGCGCACCAGGAUCUGCUCAGGCGCGUAGCACAAAAUAUGAACAUCCAGGCUGAGGAGGUCUCAGAGAUCGAGGACCCGGUCGUGAGCAUACUCUCGGUGGAUGCGCCCAGUCGUGUCGCCCUGCCCUUCAUAAGGACUAUCCAAGCCAAUGCCACCACCAUCUGGCAGUCACUGGCUUCCGUUCCCCCCACUGCUCGUGGGGUGGAGCGUAAAUACAUGGUCCCUUCGAAGGGCUAUGAGUAUUUAUAUGUCCACCCGCCCCCCUGUUCCCUCGUCGUUCAAUCUGUGAAUGAGAGGGAACGCCAUGGACAAGAAGCUCCGGCCCCCAAGUCUAAGGAGGCGAGACGUAUGGACCUGCUUGGCCGCAAGGUCUAUUCCGCAGGAG